CACGUAGGGCGCAAGCGUUGUCCGGAAUUAUUGGGCGUAAAGAGCUCGUAGGCGGUCUGUUGCGUCCGCUGUGAAAACUCGGGGCUUAACCCCGAGCCUGCAGUGGAUACGGGCAGACUAGAGGUAGGUAGGGGAGAAUGGAAUUCCCGGUGUAGCGGUGAAAUGCGUAGAUAUCAGGAGGUACACCUGUGGUGUAGACAGCUUUCUGGACCAUAGCUGACGCUGAGACACGAAAGCGUGGGUAGCAAACAGG
rnacentral:rRNA from 1 species